GAUUACAUAUAAUAUUAUGUUAUGAUGAUUAUAUUAUAAUUAUAUAUGAUAUACAUUAAAUAUGUAUAUACACAUAUAUGCAUAUUGAUAUAUAACCUGAGUCCAUGUAGUAUUGCUUGUAUGUAUAUGAUUUCAGGGAUUUUUAAGUGUAGAUGUGAUGGCAUGAGAGCCAUGCUUUCUUCUGAUGCUCUUGGUAUUCAGCCCUUGCUUGCUAGGGUCUUGCCAACUGUCUUAGUCAGAUAUGGUGUGAAAGCUUGAUUGAGCCUCCUGGGUUCUAUUGAUUCUUCUCAUACAGGGCCCUUGGGGGAAAAGCCUUCACACAGGAGAGCCACCUUCCAUAUUCCUGCAUGUCCCGGGUCAGAAAAUUUCACUAUCUUACCAUUUAUCUAAUGACUUUUAAAAAGCUGUUUCUGACCAGAUAUAUUUCAUGGUCAGUGGGAGCUCUAGUCACAGCACCUACCCUGUCCUUACUGAAGAGGAAGCCAUGACUCAAGUUGCCUUCUGUGUGUUUGCUGCUGGGUGGACAAUUGGCCUCUGCUUUCCAUGCCUGAGAACCACACUCCUUAGCUUCUGAGAUUUGUCUGUCCAACGUAGACUUCAGUGAGAAGGAGGGAUGCCAGAUGGGGACAUGGCUUUCUCUCCUCCCUCUGCUGGGAUUCCCAUGUAUAGCAAUUGCCUUGGAGUGGGACUGAGGGCUAGACAAAACCCCCAAAGCUCCAAAUGCUGUGGGGACAAGAGGAACUUACACAGGCGUGGUCUCUGUUUUGUGAAGCUUUUGUCGCAUAGAGAAUGAGAUGUAAGGAAGGGAUACCCUGAAGCUGUACCUCAGAGGCUGAGGCAGGGCAAGAGACAGAGAUGGGGGAGGGGUUGCUUAAACAUACCGGAGAAGCUCCUCAGACAGGGAGCAAGGUGGGUGUGUGGGGGGACCAGCUUAUCAGUCGAGGAAGAAUAGUGGCCCAGGGAGUUUUCAGGAUCAGGAAUACGUUGUGAUGAAGGGGUAAAGGAAUGUCAGUUCUGGGUGUUGGUGAGAGAGGAGCCACCUCAGGUCAGGACAUGAGCUGGGCAUAGGCCAGGGGGAGCCUGGUCUUUGGAGCACCCAUAGUCCACGAAUUCUACCUUGUCCUAUCUUGGGCCUCAAGUUUGGUGAGGAGUUGCUGGCAGUGCUCUCUAGUGGACUUCUCAAAGUCCCUGAUGCAUCAUGGGGUACUUACUGGGGGUAAUGGUUCACUGGUCAUUGGAGAUUUGCAGCACAUGAGUCCCUGGCCCUGAAAACUCCUGAGUUCAGCAAUGGUCAGACAGCUGUGCAUUGCUUGGAGACAGAACAGCUAGUGCAUGCAGAAGUGGCUAUUGCCAGUUAUUUUGGGGACUUGGAGAUGUGUUCAGGAUUUAACUGUUCAAAGCAUCUCUGUGUGGUCGAGCCUUAACUGAUCCCUGGAUUUCAGCCUUGACAGAGAUGCCUUCAUCUUGCUGUGGGUAGACAUUCACCCCGGGGGCCAAGGACAACAACCCCACUAAGGCCUUCCAGCCUCAUUUAGAGCCUUGGGAUGAAGGUCUUAGUGGUAUUGCUGUCAGCCAUAGCUGUCAGCUCUGCUGGAGAGAUGUGGUAUGAUUACCUCACACAGACAGAGACCUCUGUGGAUCCAGCUGGUGGCAGACAAGAGACCAAGAGACAGAGCAAAGGAACUUCAAUUCUUUUUAUCCAUCCCUGAAAGCUGUCCUGAGACUCGAACCCAGGGCUUUGACCAUGCUAAGACAGUUCUCUGCUGCCAAUCCAUAGCCCCAACCAAAGCUCUUCUCUCCUGUGUGUAGAAUGUGCCCUCAGAAAAAUACAGAGGCUUUUUGGGGCUCUGUGACGUCCCUGACACUCCAUCAUGCCCCUUCACGAUCAGAGGAAUCUGCUAAGGAACACACAUAGCUCCACUCAAACCUGUGUCUUUGAGCUGCUGAGUGAACAUAGGUGGUAGUAGCCAUACAUCUCCGCCCCUCUUUGGGUGUGAGGAGAAGAGCAAGGCUCUUCCUGGCUUUGCCAUUGACAGCACGAGGAGUCAUCAGCUCUUUUCUUGCAGGGUCAGAAAUGCAAAAAUGUCAAGCUUCUUCUCAGUUCUUUGCUCACCUGGUGGGUUCCUUUUCUCUCUGUUAUCGAGGGUGAGGAAGAAGGGCUCAUUUACUCAACCUGGAGACUGAGCUGCUACUGAUCUACUGAGCCCUGCUCUCGGCUUGGGUGUUAUCAACUCUGGUCCCCAAGGGUGGAUGUGCUAGGGAGGGCAGUGUCUUCUCCAUAAGGUUGCUGGCCUGAUGGAGACCUUCAAGGGAUGCUGGGCACAGUGUGUGGAAGGAUCUGAAGGACCUAGGAAGACUGAUAUUUGGGCUCUGGGCUUAGACCAUCUUAUGGCUGUUGGGUUUAAAGAUAAAAGAGUGAAUGCCAGUGUGGUUAACAGAGAUGCCCGUCUCCUGGCCCUGGAGUCUGAGAAUCUGUCAGGUAAGGUAUCAAUAGGUUGUCAAUUUAUCACUAUCCACACCUUGAUGGUGGGGGGGAGCGCAUCCUGUAUUAGUCAAGUGAGUCCAGUGUCACAGGGUCCUACAAAAAGGAGGUGAGUAGGAGGAGUCAGCCUCAGGGAAGGAUUCAGCCUUCUACUGGUCUGGAAGGGGCAGCAACUUAAAGAACAUAGAUGCCCUAAGAAGCUAGAAAAGGCAGGAAAGGGGCUCUGAAAUUUGGAAGGGACCUGAAAAGGACCAUCUCUAUGCAUACCUUGACUUUUACACUGGGACACCUACCAUCAAGACUGACUUCUUGACCAUAGGCAGUAGUUGAUGGGGGAUAGGGUGGGCAGAAAACAGUACUUUCUGUUGUAGACAGGCAUCUGCACAUAUAUGUUCUUGGAUAGCUCAGCUGUAGGUUAACAUACUGGUAAUGUUUUCUGGUUCUGAGUUGACUCUUUAGCCUGAUGUCCCUAGAGGAACGUGAGAUUGAUGCUGGCAGAAACCACCUGCACUGGCUGUCUCAAGAUGUCUGAGCCCAGGUAUUGGGAGAGCGAGGGAAGAGAGAGCAAGAGAAGGUAACCUGAAACUCGGAGAUGUGCCUGACACUUGUAGAGCACCAAGACUGAACUGAACAGUGGCACGUCUCCCCUCCCUAUGGAGCAGGUUUUCAACCUUUCCGUUUACAGAGUUCCUUAUGUUGUGGUGACCCCCCCCCAACAUUAAAUCAUCUCUUGUUUCCUUCACAAUUGUUAUUUUGCUACUGUUAUGAAUCAUAAUGUAAAUAUCUGAGAGGCAGAAUAUCUGAUAUUCUGAUAGCCGACCAUGUGUGGGUCGCAAUCAGAGGGUUGAGAACAGCUGCAAAGCCAGCCCCUGGAGGUGAGAGGAGAGGCCUUUGUUUUCAGGGUGUUAAUCCACUGCCUUCUCAGAUUACAGGUUUUCUGGAUAAAGCCCAGCUUAAAGAUUCAAUUCCCGGGAACGGGAAUACCAUAUCUGCUGAGUUUGACUCCUGGUGAUCACACGGUAGAAGGAGAAAACCAACGUCCGAAUCUUGUUCUCUAACUUCCACAAACAUACACAAUACUUGUCCUUGGUUAGGACCGCCCAGGAGCAUCUCUAGACAUGAGUCCUGCAGUCUGCGGAACAACAGACUCGGCUUGCUCUGAACAGGAAGUAACUUAGAUACAGAAGAUCAGAAACACUGCUUAACAGGAUGGCCUUACAGAAGAGGAGAUGCCAUUGCUCUCCCAGCCCGCCCUCAUGUUCAGCCUGCCACCCACUUACUGUCUUCAACUCCAUACCUCACUGCGUGGUUUGAAUAAGGAACAUGGGUGUCUUUCUGACUGGUCUACC